rnacentral:rRNA from 1 species
AGCGAACGCUGGCGGCAGGCUUAACACAUGCAAGUCGAGCGGGCCCUUCGGGGUCAGCGGCGGACGGGUGAGUAACGCGUGGGAACGUGCCUUCUGGUUCGGAAUAACCCUGGGAAACUAGGGCUAAUACCGGAUACGCCCUUUUGGGGAAAGGUUUACUGCCGGAAGAUCGGCCCGCGUCUGAUUAGCUAGUUGGUGGGGUAACGGCCUACCAAGGCGACGAUCAGUAGCUGGUCUGAGAGGAUGAUCAGCCACACUGGGACUGAGACACGGCCCAGACUCCUCCGGGAGACAGCAGUGGGGAAUAUUGGACAAUGGGCGCAAGCCUGAUCCAGCCAUGCCGCGUGAGUGAUGAAGGCCUUAGGGUUGUAAAGCUCUUUUAUCCGGGACGAUAAUGACGGUACCGGAGGAAUAAGCCCCGGCUAACUUCGUGCCAGCCGCCGCAGUAA